rnacentral:lncRNA from 1 species
CAGAUGAGAAAUGCAAUUGGUCUCAACCAGAUGAACCAGGUGCUCUUCGAUCUCUGAGCCUUCUAAUGAUCUUGCAAUGAUACUGACUCUUUUGUCUCCCGGUUGGAAGAAUCGUCCGUUUGCCUUGCAGCAGGAGAAGAGUUCGGUUCUAAAUUUGGGAUGACUUGUUCAAAAGCUACUUUCGUUUCACCUCUGAGCUACAGUCUGCCCUUUAAAUUCUGAACAUUUAUUUUGAUUUUUGUGAAGACUGAAUGUCUUCUGACAUGAGGAAGAGGGUCAUAUAUGAGCAUUAAUUAAAUUAAAUUGUAUCUGGGAAGUUUAGUCUUGUUUAAUGGCUUUGUUCAGUUAUUCUACCUGUUCAUUAUCUUUACAUAAACAUUAAAAUCAUACAAUCAUUAAAUUUUCUCUUCUAAAAUAAAGGAAAUUCUUAUAAGAAAU